UUAUUGCGUACAAAUUAUUAUAUAAAACUAGUAUUUAAAAUAAACAUCAAUGUAUUUCUGACAUUAAUCUUUUGCCUUGCUAUUUUUAUAACUUGUUGUCCUUCUGGUGAAUGGUGACAAUAGAAGAACGGCAUAAGAACGCCUUAGGAAGAGAAACGAGAAUUCAGCAGACCGAAUGCAUGGAGGAACUAAGUUGCACUCAAUCUAAGACAAGUUCCUGACACAAAUUAGUCCAAAGAAGGUAUCGACGAUGGCUUGCGUCUAAAGUCGUUCCCCACACGCAGGCUUCUUUUAAUGUUCUCUUUUUCAGCAAAAUGAUAAAAAAUGAAGACACAUGUAUUCACCCUUCGUUUCUUGUUUCGGUUUAAAGCAUGAAAUGAAUAUGACAAUUGUCGGAACUUAUAUAAAUAAGUAAUAGAUAGUUGUUAUUUGAUACUUUAUUAGUUGUGACACGUUGAAAGUCAGGGUCUUCUGUCGCUGGCAAUGAAGGUAAAAGCUUGAAAUGUUUAAGGUUAUCUGUGAUGCGGAAUAGUUA